UCUAUGCAGGGUACGGGAUUCGCGGGCUGGCUUCUUGGGGACCUGAUACGAGGAGUUACCCCAGGGUGGUUGACACCGGGGUGGAAAUCACAGUCCAUGAAUCAGUAGUGGAACAGAAAAUUAUUAACGUGCGCUGACCUUCACGAGUGGGUCUCGCAAGUGCGAGGAUAUUCUGGUGAUGGUUGACAUGCUGGGAAACAAGCAUGGAUAAUUUAGGGUGGCCCUUAAUAUUGACGGAUACUUAACGAUUGACCGUCAGCGCAGCCUCACGCGUGACCAACACCACACCCAUAUGUAUGAAUACAUGUGUAUGACGUCCAGAUUCUUACAAUGCCUAAUCAAUGAGAAACCUACUUGAACACCUUCUUUUUCUGGCGCCGUUCACCAUUAUUCAGAUUUUCAACGGCAUCAAGCAGGAAGUUGGCAACGAAUUCGGGGAAAUUGCAGAGUGGCAGACUAUCGACGAUCUCAAAGGAGGAAUGUCGAUCCUGCGGAGGAGGAGACAACGAAGAUCCUUGCAUCGCGGGAAUCCAACACGCAAGGCCGUAGCCUCCCCCGCUUACCCCACCAACAGCAGACCGACGAAUUUGCGAAGGACCGACUAGCGACGAGGGAGCCCCACCCCACUCGCCUUCGAGCAUCGUAGAGCUGCGCGGAGUACGAAAUUACGAUCUAGCGUUAAGUUCUGCGUCGCGAUGCUCCGACGCGUGCGCGUCGAGUUGCGCAAUCUACUAAAUCGAUGACGGAUCAAGCGUUGCGUAUCCUUGCGAGUAUAACGUCGCGUAGGCAGUAGCGUACCGAGAUCGGUGUUGCGGCAGGUCGUCGAUUUUGAAAUCAGUCGAGCUCCGGCGAUUGUGAAGUAGAGACGUGAUCUGAUAGAAUUGUGAUAUCGGGAGUUUGUUAUUGUGUUUGGAGAAAUUUGGAGCCUUCGAGAAAUCACAAGGGGGUUGGUGCUUUUGUAUGCUGGAUCUGGAACGGUAAGCGCUGCUGAUAUUCUUGCGAUCGAAUUUCGAGAGGAAUUGAGUAAAGGCUUGCCGAAUAACGGAUAGCCAUUUCGGAUUUGCGUUGUCAGAAAGUACUCGAAAUUCGUUUGCCGAUUCUUUUGCUUGGUGACCGUAGCCCGAGUUUCGCCUUAUGAAGUUGAGUAAAUGUUGCUGUGUUGAAAAUGUUGAGUAUAGAGUCACAGUUUCGAAUUGCGUCAUUCUCGUUUCAAAUUUACGUACAGCCCGAAUUCCGAUGCUAAUUUUGUUAUUGAGUUUCGCUUGCUUUUGAAUUACGAUUGAGCUUAAGAAUUUAUUUAGUUGUGUUUCGCAUAAUGUCGAGCUCGGUAGAUUUCGUUUAGUUGAGCUGAAUUAAGAUUAUAAUUCCGUCAAGGCAAUUCAAAUUGAGUUAUUGAGGAAUUAGUUAUAGUUCGAUUAUGUUUAAGUUACAAUAUAGUUUGUGUUGUGUCGAGUUGCGUAUCGUUCAAAAUUCAUUUUAAUUGAAUUAAGUUACAAUCGAAAUGAUGUUCAAUCUAAUUGCGGUUUUGUCAUGUCGAGGCGAGUCUAGGAUAGUAUUUAGUAUAGUUUAGAUUCAGUUGCGAUUAGGUGAAGUAAAGAAUAAAAUUUAACUUAAUUCAAAUUAUCGUAGUUUAGAUUUAAGUCAUCUCGCCGUCUAGGUUGACAAUUAAGAAUUGCGCAUUUGAGCCUUUUGAGAAUUGAGUUAGAUUUUAGUUAGCAAGCUGAAAGCUCUAUACUUAUAGCUUAAGAAAUAGCGUGGAUUACGAAUAUUUGUCUGUUGUUUGAUUUUUGAUCGCGAAGAGCGAAUUGUGAAUUAUCAUCUCUU